rnacentral:rRNA from 1 species
GACGAACGCUGGCGGCGUGCCUAAUACAUGCAAGUCGAACGCUGAAGGAGGAGCUUGCUUCUCUGGAUGAGUUGCGAACGGGUGAGUAACGCGUAGGUAACCUGCCUGGUAGCGGGGGAUAACUAUUGGAAACGAUAGCUAAUACCGCAUAAGAGUAGAUGUUGCAUGACAUUUGCUUAAAAGGUGCAAUUGCAUCACUACCAGAUGGACCUGCGUUGUAUUAGCUAGUUGGUGGGGUAACGGCUUACCAAGGCGACGAUACAUAGCCGACCUGAGAGGGUGAUCGGCCACACUGGGACUGGGACACGGCCCAGACUCCUACGGGAGGCAGCAGUAGGGAAUCUUCGGCAAUGGACGGAAGUCUGACCGAGCAACGCCGCGUGAGUGAAGAAGGUUUUCGGAUCGUAAAGCUCUGUUGUAAGAGAAGAACGAGUGUGAGAGUGGAAAGUUCACACUGUGACGGUAUCUUACCAGAAAGGGACGGCUAACUACGUG